rnacentral:lncRNA from 1 species
GAGAAUUGUAUAUUGUGGCUUGUAUGCAACAAGAAUAUGGAAUUGAAUAUUUGCUUAGGAGCUCAAAAUGAUGAAGUUUGUACUAUAUUUUUCAGGAAGUUAGAUAAUUUAGCCAACGUCAUGAAAUUUAUAUUGCAGUGUUUACAAAAAAUAAUAUGUUGCUUUAAUUUGAGUAAUCAUCGAAUAUGAACAAUAUAAGUUUAUAUUGCAAUAAACACAAUAGGAUACAUUUGGAUAGUCUUGUGUAGUAAAUUCUGUGCAUAUAAAUUUCUAUAGAAUUCAAAGAAGCGUUCAGUUUAUUUGACAAAGAUGGUGAUGGAACAAUCACAACAAAAGAAUUAGGUACGGUCAUGAGGUCACUCGGACAAAAUCCCACAGAAGCUGAAUUGCAAGAUAUGAUUAACGAAGUUGAUGCUGAUGGUGAGUUUGAUAUUGUGUCAAUGUCUAACCCUGACUCGAGAAGGUGUAUCUUCAAAACUCUUCAAAGUGAUGGAAUUCCAGAACAUGUGGCAGCACUCUCCACUUGACAAGUAAAAUCGUCUGGUGUUAGACAGAGUAAAAUACCAAAGUAGGGUGCAUCAGGGUGCAUUGCCACUUAAAGGGUUAAUAAUUUAAUUCAAACAUUUGUAUUAAUUUUUAAAUUUGUCAACCUUUAAGCAAUUUGGCCGCACUAUUGACAAGUAAAAUCAUCUGGUAUUAAUUAGACAGAAUAAAAUAAUAAAGUGCAUCAUGGUGCAUUGCCAUCUAAAGGGUUAAAGAUGAUGAUAUGUACUGGGUUAUGAUCGUCCUGAUUUGAUUCCAAUGCUUCUUAUAUAUCUGAUUUGACAGUUGUUGACCUCAGUUAAUUAGUAUGUUUAUCAUUUGUGAUUUUUUCUGAUUUACUCUCUGAUAUCCCCAAGGUAAUGGUACGAUUGAUUUUCCCGAAUUUCUUACAAUGAUGGCACGCAAGAUGAAGGAAACUGACAGUGAAGAUGAAAUCCGUGAAGCAUUCCGUGUGUUUGAUAAAGACGGCAAUGGCUUCAUUAGCGCAGCUGAAUUGCGUCAUGUGAUGACAAAUCUUGGUGAGAAAUUAACCGAUGAAGAGGUUGAUGAGAUGAUCAGAGAGGCUGAUAUUGAUGGUGAUGGACAGGUUAACUAUGAAGGUAAUUCCUUAAUUGGUGGUUCCAGUUCCAGCAAGGUUUUUUUAGUGAGGGGGGUGCUAGGCAUGCUGUCAUGAAAUUGCACCUUACAAUUUACAGAUAUGUUGAAAAUUCCUUCUCAUCUCAGUGCCAGAGUCUUUGCUCAACUUCCUAGUUUUGGUCAAGACACAUAGGACCAGAUAAAGUUGCUGAUUUGCUGCAUUAUUGUAUUGUCUGAUUUCAAGGAGAUUGUAUGUCUUUGAGAGCAAAUAAGAAACUUAAGAAUGUAUUUAUUUUUUGCAGAAUUUGUGAAGAUGAUGACUUCAAACUAAAACUGUCCUGGAUUUCCACCAUGGCUGCAUCAUUUGUUCUACAUUGCAUGUGUCUCUACAAGUUAGAAUAACAAUGUGUUGUUUUCACCACUCUCCAUGUUUAAUUUAAUUAAUAGUUUUGUUUAAAGUACUGAAGUCAGAAUAAACUCUGUAAAAUACUGUACUUAUCUUCUGACUCAAGCUAUUAGAGAUUGGUGGUAAGAGACUUAAUAUAUUAUACUGUAUGUACUGUAGUUUGUGUUAUAGUGAAUAUAGAUCCUUAUAGUUUAUUUAUGAUGAUUAUUAACCAAUGAGUGAAUGUUGAGUUUUUAUUUCUUCUUCAUUUUACAUUUUUGUGAAC